AUCCAGAUGGCGGACGAGUCUCAAAUAGGACGAAAUGCGCAUCCUGGAU
rfam:Trichobilharzia regenti genome assembly, scaffold: TRE_scaffold0006504